UACGGAGGGUGCGAGCGUUGUCCGGAAUCAUUGGGCGUAAAGGGCGCGUAGGUGGCCCGGUCAGUUCGUGGUGAAAGCGCGGGGCUCAACCCUGCGUCGGCCAUGAAUACUGCCGCGGCUGGAGCACUGUAGAGGCAGGCGGAAUUCCGGGUGUAGCGGUGGAAUGCGUAGAGAUCCGGAAGAACACCGGUGGCGAAGGCGGCCUGCUGGGCCAGUUGCUGGACACUGAGGCGCGACAGCGUGGGGAGCAAACAGGG
rnacentral:rRNA from 1 species